AUGUAUGGCUAUACCACCCUGAAUGUUUCUGAUCAUGUCUGGUUUUGGAAGCUAAGUGGGGUUGCGGCUGGUCAGUACAUGGAUGGGAGCCUGCCUGGGAAAAUUUGGCAAAUUAUUAUUG
rnacentral:rRNA from 1 species